rnacentral:misc_RNA from 1 species
GAGAUCCGCGGCGAGGGUGACGAGAGGCGCGACCUCUGGGCUGAAGCUCUUCUCGCGCUGCAGGAACUUCACGAGCUGAAGCGCCUCGUCGCUGGUGUGCACGAAGCCGUAGUUGCGGCGAAGGUCAACCUCGAUCGGGUAGCGCGUGCGCGCGCGGCGCGGCGGCGUGUGGAUCCGGCAGGUUCCGAUCGGCGUGAUCGUCAGCUUGCUCACAGGCUCCAGUACCGGAUGUCUUCGCGCAGCGAGGACGGAUCGAUCUUCGCCUUCACGUCCACGAAAAU